AUUCAUUGCCCUGUCGUGGUUCUAGCUAGUCUGGUCACUCAGUGCAAUUACCUCUAUUGUCUUUUGGUUCCUGACUCGGCUUGUAUUUUGACCCUGCUUUUCUCUCUUGUCCUUUUGACUCGGCUUGUCUCUCGCUUACCUGAUCUCUCGUUCCCUCGACCUCGGCUUGUCUCUGACUAUUCUUUUGCUUUCUCCUUACGUUAGUCCGGCCAUUCUAAGGUCCGGUAUACGUACCUAUCCCCUGUUUGUAUUCUGCGUGUUGGAUCCCUGUCACGAUCCUGACAAUAUC